rnacentral:rRNA from 1 species
GGUCUGGCUGGCGGGUCCGCCUCACCGCGUGCACUUGUCCGGCUGGACCUUUCCUCCUGGAGAACCUCAUGCCCUUCACUGGGUGUGCUGGGGAACCAGGACUUUUACUUUGAAAAAAUUAGAGUGUUCAAAGCAGGCCUUUGCUCGAAUACGUUAGCAUGGAAUAAUAGAAUAGGACGUGCGGUCCUAUUUUGUUGGUUUCUAGGAUCGCCGUA